CCCUUAGAUGUUCUGGGCCGCACGCGCGCUACACUGAUGCAUGCAACAAGUCUUUUCCUUGGCCGAGAGGCCUGGGCAAUCUUUGAAUAUGCAUCGUGAUGGGGAUAGACGAUUGCAAUUAUUCGUCUUCAACGAGGAAUUCCUAGUAAACGCAAGUCAUCAGCUUGCAUUGAUUACGUCCCUGCCCUUUGUACACACCGCCCGUCGCACCUACCGAUUGAAUGGUCCGGUGAAGGCUUCGGAGGCGGCUUUCUCAAUGUUUACUCGGCGAGACUGCUGCCAAAGUUGAAUGAACCUUACCAUUUAGAGGAAGGUGAAGUCGUAACA
rnacentral:rRNA from 1 species